rfam:Shinella sp. HZN7, complete genome.
CAUCGUUCUCAGGGCGGGGUGAAACUCCCCACCGGCGGUAUCGGGCGUCAAAACCCGGAGCCCGCGAGCGCCUUGCCCCAAAGGCAAGGGUCAGCAGAUCCGGUGCGAUGCCGGAGCCGACGGUCACAGUCCGGAUGGAAGAGAGCAAGC